rnacentral:rRNA from 1 species
UGCCAGACUCCUACGGGAGGCAGCAGUGAGGAAUAUUGGUCCAUGGUCGGGAGACUGAACCAGCCAAGCCGCGUGAGGGAUGAAGGUACAGAGUAUCGUAAACCUCUUUUGUCAGGGAACAAAGGCGGGGAUGUGUCCCCGGAUGAGUGUACCUGAAGAAAAAGCAUCGGCUAACUCCGUGCCAGCAGCCGCGGUAAUACGGAGGAUGCGAGCGUUAUCCGGAUUUACUGGGUGUAAAGGGCGUGCAGCCGGGAAGACAAGUCAGAUGUGAAAUCCCGCGGCUCAACCGCGGAACUGCAUUUGAAACUGUUUUUCUUGAGUAUCGGAGAGGUAAUCGGAAUUCCUAGUGUAGCGGUGAAAUGCGUAGAUAUUAGGAAGUACACCAGUGGCGAAGGCGGAUUACUGGACGACAACUGACGGUGAGGCGCGAAAGCGUGGGGAGCAAACAGGAUUAGAUACCCUGGUAC